ensembl:lncRNA
CUUACUCAUAGCCAUGAAGGCAGCCAUGUCUGUUGUCUUCAACGCAGCUGAUGAUGUUUUUGGCCCAUUUAGGUGCAAACGUGGUUCUUGCAUUUUGGUUAGAAUAUGUUUUAUAGCAGGUAUUUCCCACGUGGUCAGCUCCUGCAGCACAUCAUCACACACAUUGUCAUUAUUCUUCAAACCCUUUAAAAUCUCAUGGAGACUGAAACAAUCUCAACUCUCAGAUGUUGUAUAAAUAAUUUACUGAUGCAGUUAAUAGGUUAAUUUCAAAAAUUACAUAGCUGACAACAAUACAACUGGAUUUAAUCAGUUAUAUAAAAUGUAUAGUUGCAUUUUAAAUUCAUCGAGAAACAGGUGCUCUGUUACAGUCUGUGAUAGUUUUAGUCUCUUUUCACACAGUUAGUUCACAGUUAGCAAGUUGCAUUAAGGACAGAUAGAUUUAUAACCGUGUUGAGAAACAGACCUUUAGCUGUCAUUACUGAGCUUUGACAACAGAGCAAACUCCAGAAAUAAAAACUGUACCUGAUACAGAGAUGAGCAUCAUCACACUCAGGGAGAUCAGAAGAAUCAGGCGGCUGGUGGAGAGACUCGAACACAUCUUCAGACACUGAAAGGCACCAAAUCUGAGUCUGGAUCUGAGCUGUGAACAGGUUUGUUACCAGCUGAUGAACUUGUCAAAGUGUGACACUUAAUGAUAUUCUGACCUGUAGUUUGUCACAGAAAGAAGAACUGUAUCAUUUAAGUAGACUACUCUGAGGUCAUCAUUUACUAAGAGACCAACAAACACCCAUCAUUUCCACAUCCACAGGGUUAUUUGGUGUGUCCUUUCAUACUCAUUAAGCCCUUUAUGGUAUUCAUACAGAAUCCAAUCUCAAAUCAUGCAGGAAUAAAUUCAGAAUAAAGGAGACAAGAGGUCAAUAUCAGAAAAUAUAUACAGAACUUUAUUUAUUAAAUCAUUUGUAAUAAAAUUAUAGUUAAAAUGAGCCUUAUAUGAAAAGAAAGAGUAAUGGUGCCAACAGGAAUCCUUUAAGCUUUUUUAGUCACAAACACAAAACAGAAUGAACACAGUCACACACAGGCACGUAUUACAUGCACUAAACAUCUGGAAACAGGAGAAACUCAGAGCAUCCUGUCAUCAUUUCAUGAACACAGGGGCAAACUUCAAUGAGGUAUUAAGCCUCCACUCAGGGAUUGUACUUUGCCCGGCUGUCGUAUUGCACCAUGCCAAACAAAUAACUGAAAACACGACUGUAAACCCGAGACCAUUGGCCUGACUCAAAUAAGUAGAAUGGAAAGAAGUAAGAAGGGAGAAAAGUGGAAAAACAAUGACAAUAUCACACAGAGACCAUCCUACAGUUUAGGCUGCACACCUGUACCAGUAUAUAUUUACACUUCACAGUUUUUACAGGACAUUUCACACCUUAAGCUGAAUGACUCACCUGCUACACAGCACGGUUAGUUUCUUGUUAGUCAGUACCAGUGUUGGACAAGUUACUUUGAAAAAGUAAUUAAUUAUAGUUACUAGUUACUUCUUCAAAAAGUAACUGAGUUAGUAACUGAAUUACAAUAUUCUAAAAGUAACUAAUUACUUGAUAAGUAACUAUUGCGUUACUUUAAUAAAACGUGUAACCCUCUGGGGUCCAGGGUGUAAUUGGCCAUUUUUAACCACAUUUUACCUUUAAAAACUAUUUAUUUGCCUUGUUUGGUAUCAUCCUUUUCAGCACAACCUCGUGUGCCUGAAUUUACAGUUGUUUUCAUUCUGACAUACUGUAUUAACACAAUUGAUCUAAAAUCAGACAAAAAACAUAAAAUCAGAGUAGAAAAAGUUAUAUUUUUUACUGUAACAAAAUGGUAAAUGGCCUGCAUUUGUAUAGCGCUUUACUAGUCCCUAAGGACCCCAAAGCGCUUUACACAACCAGUCAUCCACCCAUUCACACACACAAUGUAGCUUGCCAACACACUGGUGAUGGCAGCCACACUGGGGCGCACUGACAGAGGCGACGGGUGCAACCUUCCGAUUACAAGGCGAACUCCCAACUCUUGAGCCACGAUCACCCCCAGAAGAACCACAAACAUGUUUAAUGAAUCAUAUUUCAUAACUUUAAAUGCAAAUAUAAAUUGUCAAUUUUAAAAUCCUAUGCAUAAGUUCUGCAAAAAACAAAGUUAUUUGCAUCCAUUUACCUUUUACCCUUUUAAAAAAAAACAUUUCAAACUAUUUACAGAACAAUCAGCUGUUCUGUAUUCAAUAACAUGCCACACAAAUUAUUUGUGCCACUCCAAAAUAUAAUUUCUGUCCACUAUAAAGGAGAACAUCACAGCCUGAUACCUGCAGGUCUGACAGCAGCAGGUGUAUCACUCCUGUUUCUACCUGGAGACAGCAGUCGCCUCAUUGUUCUGACACACAACACAAAACUAUCCACAACACUUUUUCUGCUCUCUCUCUCUCUCCCCCCCCCUCUCUCUCUCUCUCUCUCUCUCUCUCCGUCAUUCCUAAAACUAACCGUUUUUUUGUUUUUCUCUCAUAAGCAGAGAGGUCUCGCUGCGCUGUCGUUAGACAGUAAACUUGGCGAAACUAUUGAGGAAAAAACGCCGCGUAUAUCUUGUUUAUCAUGACUCUGGUUUUACGUGGCCUAUCAACACAAUUUAUAAACUGGUAUAUGUCACCUUGUUGCUUUGUCUUUAAGUGGUCAUGUGAUUGACUUACCACGACUACUUUAUUCUUCCUCAGUCAAACAGCAGCACUCAUGCGAUUGUUUUGCCUCCUGAGCUCCAGCUGUUGUGCUAGACAGUGAUUGUGAUUGCCGUCCGCGGGAGCGCGCAGCUGCUUAAAGCUGUAGCGUCCAGAUUACUUACAGCUACUUCCGUGCAGCUGAUAUAAGAUGCGGUAAGCUGAACACAGCUGCAACCGUCUGUUUGUUGAAAAAUAGUAACGGACCGCGUUUCCUUCUUAGUAACUGUAACGGCGUUGUAACGAUAGGAAUAGUAAUUAGUUAGAUUACUCGUUACUGAAAAAAGUAACGCCGUUAAUAACACCGUUACUUGUAACGCCGUUAUUCCCAUCACUGACAAAAACUAAAUACAAAAAAUACAACACACAGUUCAUUUCAAAUCUUCUUUCAGUAAAAGUUUCAUGAUCCACAACAUCAAAACAUUUGCUUUGUUCCUAAUCUUUCUUUUACUGCUCCUGAAUGCCAACCAGCCUUAUCUAAAUGUUAUACUUCAGCACUCCUUCCAUAAGUACACACAGUAGGAGCCACACUCGUGCUAUAUUCUCACAGGAUGAUACAAGUUCUAUUUUUCAGUUUCAUACUGCUUACCAACAACAUCUAAACAUCCACACACCACAUCUGCUGACUGCGACGCCUCUG